GGGUUGUGAGGUUAAGCGACUAAGCGUACACGGUGGAUGCCCUGGCAGUCAGAGGCGAUGAAGGGCGUGCUAAUCUGCGAUAAGCGCCGGUAAGGUGAUAUGAACCGUUAUAACCGGCGAUACCCGAAUGGGGAAACCCAGUGUGAUUCGUCACACUAUCAUUAACUGAAUCCAUAGGUUAAUGAGGCGAACCGGGGGAACUGAAACAUCUAAGUACCCCGAGGAAAAGAAAUCAACCGAGAUUCCCCAGUAGCGGCGAGCGAACGGGGAGGAGCCCAGAGCCUGAAUCAGCAUGUGUGUUAGUGGAAGCGUCUGGAAAGGCGCGCGAUACAGGGUGACAGCCCCGUACACAAAAGCGCAUGUGCUGUGAGCUCGAUGAGUAGGGCGGGACACGUGGUAUCCUGUCUGAAUAUGGGGGGACCAUCCUCCAAGGCUAAAUACUCCUGACUGACCGAUAGUGAACCAGUACCGUGAGGGAAAGGCGAAAAGAACCCCGGCGAGGGGAGUGAAAAAGAACCUGAAACCGUGUACGUACAAGCAGUGGGAGCACAGGUUUACCUGUGUGACUGCGUACCUUUUGUAUAAUGGGUCAGCGACUUAUAUUCUGUAGCAAGGUUAACCGUAUAGGGGAGCCGUAGGGAAACCGAGUCUUAACCGGGCGUUAAGUUGCAGGGUAUAGACCCGAAACCCGGUGAUCUAGCCAUGGGCAGGUUGAAGGUUGGGUAACACUAACUGGAGGACCGAACCGACUAAUGUUGAAAAAUUAGCGGAUGACCUGUGGCUGGGGGUGAAAGGCCAAUCAAACCGGGAGAUAGCUGGUUCUCCCCGAAAGCUAUUUAGGUAGCGCCUCGUGAAUUCAUCUCCGGGGUAGAGCACUGUUUCGGCUAGGGGGCCAUCCCGGCUUACCAACCCGAUGCAAACUGCGAAUACCGGAGAAUGUUAUCACGGGAGACACACGGCGGGUGCUAACGUCCGUCGUGAAGAGGGAAACAACCCAGACCGCCAGCUAAGGUCCCAAAGUCAUGGUUAAGUGGGAAACGAUGUGGGAAGGCCCAGACAGCCAGGAUGUUGGCUUAGAAGCAGCCAUCAUUUAAAGAAAGCGUAAUAGCUCACUGGUCGAGUCGGCCUGCGCGGAAGAUGUAACGGGCUAAACCAUGCACCGAAGCUGCGGCAGCGACACUGUGUGUUGUUGGGUAGGGGAGCGUUCUGUAAGCCUGUGAAGGUGUGUCGUGAGGCAUGCUGGAGGUAUCAGAAGUGCGAAUGCUGACAUAAGUAACGAUAAAGCGGGUGAAAAGCCCGCUCGCCGGAAGACCAAGGGUUCCUGUCCAACGUUAAUCGGGCAGGGUGAGUCGACCCCUAAGGCGAGGCCGAAAGGCGUAGUCGAUGGGAAACAGGUUAAUAUUCCUGUACUUGGUGUUACUGCGAAGGGGGGACGGAGAAGGCUAUGUUGGCCGGGCGACGGUUGUCCCGGUUUAAGCGUGUAGGUGUGUGUUCCAGGUAAAUCCGGUUCACUUUAACACUGAGGCGUGAUGACGAGGCACUACGGUGCUGAAGCAACAAAUGCCCUGCUUCCAGGAAAAGCCUCUAAGCAUCAGGUAACAUCAAAUCGUACCCCAAACCGACACAGGUGGUCAGGUAGAGAAUACCAAGGCGCUUGAGAGAACUCGGGUGAAGGAACUAGGCAAAAUGGUGCCGUAACUUCGGGAGAAGGCACGCUGACACGUAGGUGAAGUGAUUUACUCAUGGAGCUGAAGUCAGUCGAAGAUACCAGCUGGCUGCAACUGUUUAUUAAAAACACAGCACUGUGCAAACACGAAAGUGGACGUAUACGGUGUGACGCCUGCCCGGUGCCGGAAGGUUAAUUGAUGGGGUCAGCGCAAGCGAAGCUCCUGAUCGAAGCCCCGGUAAACGGCGGCCGUAACUAUAACGGUCCUAAGGUAGCGAAAUUCCUUGUCGGGUAAGUUCCGACCUGCACGAAUGGCGUAAUGAUGGCCAGGCUGUCUCCACCCGAGACUCAGUGAAAUUGAACUCGCUGUGAAGAUGCAGUGUACCCGCGGCAAGACGGAAAGACCCCGUGAACCUUUACUAUAGCUUGACACUGAACAUUGAGCCUUGAUGUGUAGGAUAGGUGGGAGGCUUUGAAGCGUGGACGCCAGUCUGCGUGGAGCCGACCUUGAAAUACCACCCUUUAAUGUUUGAUGUUCUAACGUGGACCCGUAAUCCGGGUUGCGGACAGUGUCUGGUGGGUAGUUUGACUGGGGCGGUCUCCUCCUAAAGAGUAACGGAGGAGCACGAAGGUUGGCUAAUCCUGGUCGGACAUCAGGAGGUUAGUGCAAUGGCAUAAGCCAGCUUGACUGCGAGCGUGACGGCGCGAGCAGGUGCGAAAGCAGGUCAUAGUGAUCCGGUGGUUCUGAAUGGAAGGGCCAUCGCUCAACGGAUAAAAGGUACUCCGGGGAUAACAGGCUGAUACCGCCCAAGAGUUCAUAUCGACGGCGGUGUUUGGCACCUCGAUGUCGGCUCAUCACAUCCUGGGGCUGAAGUAGGUCCCAAGGGUAUGGCUGUUCGCCAUUUAAAGUGGUACGCGAGCUGGGUUUAGAACGUCGUGAGACAGUUCGGUCCCUAUCUGCCGUGGGCGCUGGAGAACUGAGGGGGGCUGCUCCUAGUACGAGAGGACCGGAGUGGACGCAUCACUGGUGUUCGGGUUGUCAUGCCAAUGGCACUGCCCGGUAGCUAAAUGCGGAAGAGAUAAGUGCUGAAAGCAUCUAAGCACGAAACUUGCCCCGAGAUGAGUUCUCCCUGAGACUUAGAGUCUCCUGAAGGAACGUUGAAGACGACGACGUUGAUAGGCCGGGUGUGUAAGCGCAGCGAUGCGUUGAGCUAACCGGUACUAAUGAACCGUGAGGCUUAACCUUACAACGCCGAAG
rnacentral:rRNA from 1 species